rnacentral:rRNA from 1 species
UAGCUAGUUGGUGAGGUAACGGCUUACCAAGGCGACGAUCUGUAGCGGGUCUGAGAGGAUGAUCCGCCACACUGGAACUGAGACACGGUCCAGACUCCUACGGGAGGCAGCAGUGGGGAAUUUUGGACAAUGGGGGCAACCCUGAUCCAGCCAUGCCGCGUGAGUGAAGAAGGCCUUCGGGUUGUAAAGCUCUUUCGGCCGGGAAGAAAUCGCAUGGGCCAAUACCCUGUGUGGAUGACGGUACCGGAAUAAGAAGCACCGGCUAACUACGUGCCAGCAGCCGCGGUAAUACGUAGGGUGCGAGCGUUAAUCGGAAUUACUGGGCGUAAAGCGUGCGCAGGCGGUUUUGUAAGACAGGCGUGAAAUCCCCGGGCUCAACCUGGGAACUGCGUUUGUGACUGCAAGGCUAGAGUACGGCAGAGGGGGGUGGAAUUCCACGUGUAGCAGUGAAAUGCGUAGAGAUGUGGAGGAACACCAAUGGCGAAGGCAGCCCCCUGGGUCGAUACUGACGCUCAUGCACGAAAGCGUGGGUAGCAAACAGGAUUAGAUACCCUGGUAGUCCACGCCCUAAACUAUGUCAACUAGGUGUUGGGUGGGUAAAACCAUUUAGUACCGUAGCUAACGCGUGAAGUUGACCGCCUGGGGAGUACGGCCGCAAGGUUAAAACUCAAAGGAAUUGACGGGGACCCGCACAAGCGGUGGAUGAUGUGGAUUAAUUCGAUGCAACGCGAAAAACCUUACCUACCCUUGACAUGCCAGGAACUUGCCAGAGAUGGCUUGGUGCCCGAAAGGGAGCCUGGACACAGGUGCUGCAUGGCCGUCGUCAGCUCGUGUCGUGAGAUGUUGGGUUAAGUCCCGCAACGAGCGCAACCCUUGUCGUUAAUUGCCAUCAUUUAGUUGGGCACUUUAGCGAGACUGCCGGUGACAAACCGGAGGAAGGUGGGGAUGACGUCAAGUCCUCAUGGCCCUUAUGGGUAGGGCUUCACACGUCAUACAAUGGUCGGUACAGAGGGUCGCCAAGCCGCGAGGUGGAGCCAAUCCCAGAAAGCCGAUCGUAGUCCGGAUUGCAGGCUGCAACUCGCCUGCAUGAAGUCGGAAUCGCUAGUAAUCGUGGAUCAGCAUGUCACGGUGAAUACGUUCCCGGGUCUUGUACACACCGCCCGUCACACCAUGGGAGCGGGUUCCGCCAGAAGUAGGUAGCCUAACCGCAAGGAGGGCGCUUACCACGGCGGGGUUCGUGACUGGGGUGAAGUCGAAACAAGGUAGCCGUAGGGGAACCUGCGGCUG